UCAGAUCAAUGCUUUGUUCUUGUUGAAAAUCAUCACUAUUUGCUAUAAAGAAUGUAGUAUGUAUUUGCAAUAUUAGAGAAAGACAACCAAGAGAAAUUACUAAAGAUGUGCUAGAAAUAUUGAGUUUUGAUGGGAAGGUGGCAUAUGAAAGUAUCAUUGAAGCGACUGAGAACUUCGAUUCAAGAUAUUGUAUUGGUGAAGGAGGACAUGCAAGUGUUUUCAAGGCUGAGCUACCAAGUGGUCAAGUAGUUGCUAUAAAGAAGUUUAAGGCCACUGGGCAAGAAGAUGAAUGGUGUAGUCUCAAAAGCUUUUCAAAUGAGGUUCACAGUUUAACCGAGGUUAGACAUCGAAAUAUUGUAAAACUGUAUGGUUUUUGUGCUAGUGAGAGACACUCAUUCUUGAUUUAUGAGUACUUGGAAGGUGGAAGCCUAGCACACAUAUUAAACCAUGAUGAAAAAGCAUUGGAAUUAGGGUGGAUGGAAAGGGUAAAUGUAGUUAAAGAUGUGUCUAAAGCGUUGUCAUAUAUGCACCAUGAUUGCUCAACUCUUAUUGUUCAUCGGGACAUAUCUUCUAAGAAUAUUCUGUUUGAUUUGGAAUACAAAGCUCAUGUUUCUGAUUUCGGCACAGCAAGAAUAUUGAUUCUUGAUUCAUCACAUUGGACUUCAUUUGCUGGGACAUUUGGCUAUGCAGCUCCUGAGUUUGCAUACACUAUGGAAGUAACCGAAAAAUGUGAUGUAUAUAGCUUUGGAGUGGUAGCACUGGAAAUUAUUAUGGGCAAGCAUCCGGGAGACUUGAUUACAACCAUUUUGUCACCCUCAACAUCAGAAACCGGCCAUCAUCAAAUGCUGGUAAAAGAUUUGUUAGACCCUCGACUCUCUACUCCAACAAAGCAAGUGGCGAAUGAGUUGGUUUUGGUUGCCAAGAUAGCAGUUGCCUGUUUGAAUAGCAAUCCACAAUGCCGGCUGACCAUGCGACAGGUUUCUGUGUUGCUAUCCAAGGAAUUGCAUUUGUCAAAUUUAUUACUUGAUGAUAUCACAAUAAGCCAAUUGUUUGGCCUUGAAUUCCGUACUCCCUGAUCAAGCUAGUUUUCAAGGCGUUGAAAUUAGUACGGAGUACUAUUCUUUCUGAUUCAUUCUCAACAUGCUUUUUCUCAGCGUUAUGUUGCUAUAUUUUGGUUAAGAUUGGUGUGAGGCUUUGAUGUGAUGAGAAAGGCAGGAUUGGUGAAUGUAGUAGUGUUCCUAAACAUCAGAGCUAUUAUAUAUGGUUUGGACAACUCCAACCAAGUCAGGCAACCUGAGCUUCAAUCUGUGCUCAUGCAGCUCCCAAUUUCAUUCAUGCAUGCCGGCCCGGGUAGGCUUAUGAUCAUAAUGUUCCACUUCGAUCUGCAUGCAAAAAUCACACCAAGACUUCUCAUGCCUUGUUGGAUUCUUAGCUUGGAACGACAUAUAUAGAUCCAAUCCAGUGAUGAUGAAGUAUAGAAGGAAGCUUAGCUUGCUGAUGGAUACACAUCACCAGAUCACUUGUUAAGUGGGGCAAGUUGAGAAAUUGGCUAAGCGACACAACGGCUUCAUGUUCUGCUCAACACAUGCAUGAAUCAAAGCAUGACAUAGUUGACAAGGA